rnacentral:misc_RNA from 1 species
UCGCGGCUUAUCACCGGCAGUCCCCUUAGAGUGCCCAACUGAAUGAUGGCAACUAAGGGCGAGGGUUGCGCUCGUUGCGGGACUUAACCCAACAUCUCACGACACGAGCUGACGACAGCCAUGCAGCACCUGUGCUGACUCCGGCCGAACCGAAGGUACGAUCUCUCGUACCGGCGAGUCACAUGUCAAGGGCUGGUAAGGUUCUGCGCGUUGCGUCGAAUUAAACCAC